rnacentral:rRNA from 1 species
UACGGAAGGGGCAAGCGUUGUUCGGAAUCAUUGGGCGUAAAGGGCGCGUAGGUGGUUCUGUAUGUCUACCGUGAAAGCGUACGGCUCAACUGUAUUUUGUCGGUAGAAACUGCAGGACUUGAGGCUGGGAGGGGCUGGUGGAAUUCCCUGUGUAGCGGUGAAAUGCGUAGAGAUGGGGAGAACACUCGUGGCGAAGGCGGCCAGCUAGACCAGUUCUGACACUGAGGCGCGACAGCGUGGGGAGCAAACAGG